rnacentral:rRNA from 1 species
UAAAUUUUAUUUAUUAACUUUUAUCUACGGUUUAUUUUUAAAUUAUUAAAAAUAAGUUAUAUAACUUAAUAGUUUUAGUAUUUAUAUAAAGAAAAAAUCUUUUAAUAAUAGUUUAUCAGCAUUGUAAAAGAAAAUUGAA